UACGGGGGGGGCAAGCGUUGUUCGGAAUUACUGGGCGUAAAGGGCGCGUAGGCGGUGUGUCAAGUCAGGCGUGAAAGCCCCGGGCUCAACCUGGGAACCGCGCUUGAGACUGGCACGCUAGAGUUCGGGAGAGGAUGGUGGAAUUCCCAGUGUAGAGGUGAAAUUCGUAGAUAUUGGGAAGAACACCGGUGGCGAAGGCGGCGACCUGGGUAGAUACUGACGCUGAGGUGCGAAAGCGUGGGGAGCAAACAGG
rnacentral:rRNA from 1 species